GUGGGGAAUUUUGGACAAUGGGGGCAACCCUGAUCCAGCCAUUCCGCGUGAGUGAAGAAGGCCUUCGGGUUGUAAAGCUCUUUCGGCAGGAACGAAACGGUGAGCUCUAACAUAGCUCGCUAAUGACGGUACCUGAAGAAGAAGCACCGGCUAACUACGUGCCAGCAGCCGCGGUAAUACGUAGGGUGCGAGCGUUAAUCGGAAUUACUGGGCGUAAAGCGUGCGCAGGCGGUUGUGUAAGACAGGUGUGAAAUCCCCGGGCUUAACCUGGGAACUGCGCUUGUGACUGCACGGCUAGAGUAUGGCAGAGGGGGGUGGAAUUCCACGUGUAGCAGUGAAAUGCGUAGAGAUGUGGAGGAACACCGAUGGCGAAGGCAGCCCCCUGGGCCAAUACUGACGCUCAUGCACGAAAGCGUGGGGAGCAAACAGGAUUAGAUACCCCGGUAGUCC
rnacentral:rRNA from 1 species